rnacentral:rRNA from 1 species
UGUUGCGGUUAAAAAGCUCGUAGUUGGAUUUCUGUUGAGGAUGACCCGUCCGCUCUUUGAGCGCGUAUCUGGUUCAGCCUUGGCAUCCUCUUGGGGAACGCUACUGUGCUUGAUUGCAUGGGGCGGUAUUCAAGACUUUUACUUUGAGGAAAUUAGAGUGUUCACUGCAAGCGUUAGCAAUUGAAUACAUUAGCAUGGAAUAAUAAUAUAGGACCUUGGUACUAUUUUGUUGGUUUCUAGAACUAAGGUAAUGAUUAAUAGGGACAAUUGGGGGCAUUCGUAUUAACGCGUCAGAGGUGGAAUUCUUAGAUUGCGUUACGACGAACUACUGCGAAAGCAUUUGCCAAGGAUGUUUUCAUUGAUCAAGAACGAAAGUAUGGGGAUCGAAGAC